CUGGACAGAUUAUUGUAUUCGACUGUAUUCACGGCAUGAAAUAGGGGAUUAUACUGUUUUUAAAAUGGAAAGUGAAUCAAUUAACAUAAUAGACUCCUAAUAUA
rnacentral:pre_miRNA from 1 species